rnacentral:rRNA from 1 species
AUUGAACGCUGGCGGCAGGCCUAACACAUGCAAGUCGAGCGGAUGAAGGGAGCUUGCUCCUGGAUUCAGCGGCGGACGGGUGAGUAAUGCCUAGGAAUCUGCCUGGUAGUGGGGGAUAACGUCCGGAAACGGGCGCUAAUACCGCAUACGUCCUGAGGGAGAAAGUGGGGGAUCUUCGGACCUCACGCUAUCAGAUGAGCCUAGGUCGGAUUAGCUAGUUGGUGGGGUAAAGGCCUACCAAGGCGACGAUCCGUAACUGGUCUGAGAGGAUGAUCAGUCACACUGGAACUGAGACACGGUCCAGACUCCUACGGGAGGCAGCAGUGGAGAAUAUUGGACAAUGGGCGAAAGCCUGAUCCAGCCAUGCCGCGUGUGUGAAGAAGGUCUUCGGAUUGUAAAGCACUUUAAGUUGGGAGGAAGGGCAGUAAGUUAAUACCUUGCUGUUUUGACGUUACCAACAGAAUAAGCACCGGCUAACUUCGUG